AUUCUGGUCCCUAAUACUCUAAUUGAAGGUGGGGUAAAGCGCACCACAUAAUUUAGCAUAAAAAAUGAAAAAUUCAUAGUACAAACACUACUAAAACUCCUAGCCUCAAAGCUGCUACUCAUCUUUCUAAAAACCCUAUCUGUCCCAAACCUUCAAUCUCUCAGAUUCAUCAUGGAAGAAUGAGUCUCACCCUCCAAAAUUUUUCGCUCAACCCUAGAUCUCUUUAUUCAUGCUCCUACGUCUCAGGCAGUACUGUGCAAUGAUAUGGAGGCUACUGAUCUCAUCGCCUGGCAAAAGCUCUGGCAGCCUCUGUUAGAAUGUUGGUCGAUUGCUUUAUCAACCAAUGUUAGUGUCUGCAACGACAACUCCGUUUGAUUCCAAUUAGGUUUUGAAGAUGGAAGUGUGAAGACUUCAUACAAGUUAACAAGUUGAUUAUCCUUUUGGUAGGACUAUUAGGCAAAAUGUUGCCGUAUUUCGCAAGGAUUUUAGUUUUGGCUAAGGCAAUUUUUUUAUAUUUUUUAUGGUUGUUAGUUAUUUUUCUAAUACGAUUGUGUAAACAAUAUAGUGACUUAUCUCAGGAUUGUAAUUAAUUAAUGAUAUAUAUGAAAGUUGGAUGUCAUUGAUAAUUUUUUUCA